UGAAAUUCCAGCUAAUUCCUUAGUUGUUACCCAGGAAACAAUGCAGAUCCUGGUCCGAGGAUGCAGCUCCUUCCAGGCAGCCUGGACUGUGAGGUGUGCUCCAUUGCUCUUCAGGAACCGUCCUUGAGAGGCGUUCCACAGCAGGCCAGACCUGGGGGGAGCAGGUGGGCCAGGCGGAAAGCACAGCACAAUUUGAGAGAUGCUGAGUACUCAUGACUCUGUGUAAGCACCUGAAUUCAGCCCUCAUGGUCUUUUCUGAGCUGUCAGUCAUUUAUCUCUAUUUAGUCAUUUUGCGAAUUGGAGUUAGCUUCCUUCCCUCUACACUCAAAGACGGCAUGUCAACAUUUUAGGCCUCUGGGUGGAAUGAACUCCCAGUUUCCUGGGAGGGAGCUGAUUGGCAUCUAUUCGCCUCUUCCUAGUUUUGUGGGGUUUCCCAGCAUGUGGAGUCAUAGAGAAAGACUGGUCCCACCUUCUAUGUAAUGCCCAAGAGAAUAGAUGACUCUCUGUCCACCCCCACCCUGGCAUCCAGGGCUUCUGGACAAGACCUAGGCUGGCUAAUUGGCUGCUUCCACAUGGGAUCCUGAAUCUGGAGCAAGUGAGGCAAAGCCCAGGGUGCUUAGAAUCCAUUCUCAGUGAGAGCAGCAGGACUGCCCGGGAGGGGAAUAGAGACGGGGACGACCGAGUCCUGCACCAGCAGAGAUGACGUCCGCAGGUGGCGGGGCAGCGCUGUGGCCGUGUCACUCCUCACAAAGCAGGGCUCUUGUGCUCGCAGCCUUCGAUACCGUCUCACUGUCUUGGCUUCUAUUUAUCUUCCAAGCCAAUUUCCAGCCUCCUACACACGUGGGGUUCUUCUGGUAUCAUUCCAGUGAAUUUCAUGUUGUUUUCUGCCCUAAGAAAACAGAGUUGGUACCUCUGCUCGACCAAGAAGCCUGAUUGAUACAGACUGAGAGCUGCAGGCUGUGUUUAUUUGCUUCAUUAACAAGAACAACUUAGGAAUGGCAACUUCCAUUGAUGAGCUUCCUACUUUGUUCUGCGGUUGGAAAACAAACAGUUGUUUCCCUGUUGACGACUGGCCACACUGGAGAGGUGAACAGUUCACUCUCAAGGCCAUACUGACUUGAACACUGGCUGUCUAGAAACAGAGAGGCAGGCAGCGGCAGACAGGAAGAGAGAUGGAGCAGAGUCCUCCAGCGGGAGCUGCACCUCGGAAGCAUCCUUAGAUGCGGCUUGGAGUUGGGAUCCUUCAAUUCCCCUCAGGAAAAACAUUAACAUCUGCCAUUUUUCUAAAUUGAAUGUGAAAGAUGAUCCUGACAGGCUGAACAAAGAUGCUUGCUCUCUGUUGUGAUGUUUGACAAGGGAAUCUUCCUUCAUUUUCUCCUCUGAUGAGCCUCUCUACCAGAUAAGCAGCAGCAGGAACCAAACGUUUAAGAAAAAUGUAAAGACAUUAUUUUGUCCAUCACUUAACAUUUUUAUGAACAAGUUGGGAGGUAGCCUGCAUGAAUGCCUCUGUGCAAUGGAAUGAAUGGCCGGAGAUCUCACCAUCCCAGGAUGACUUUGGGGAAGGAAGACCCAAACAGCCCACUAUCACAUGCUGUCCUGCCUGCCUCAGGCCUCCUGUCCUUCUCUCCCUUGUGACCUGCAAACUAACCUUGAGGACUCAUGUCAACUGUCACUGCAUUGGAAGCCCUCUGUGAUAGUUAAUAUUGAGUGUCAACUUGAUUGGAUUGAAGGAUGCAAAGUAUUGUUCCUGGGUGUGUCUGUGAGGGUGUGGCCAAAGGAGAUUAACAUUUGAAUCAGUGGCCUGGGAGAGGCAGACGCACCCUCAAUCUGGGUGGGCACCAUCUAAUCAGCUGCCAACACGGCUAGAAUUAAGCAGGCAGAAGAACUUGGAAGGACUAGACUUGCUGAGUCUUCCAGCCUUCACUCCCUUCCAUGGUCUUUCUCCCGUGCUGGAUGCUUCCUGCCCUUGAACAUCAGACUCCAAGUUCUUCAGCUUUUGGACUCUUGGACUUACACCAGUGGUUUGCCAGGGGCUCUCAGGCCUCCGGCCACAGACUAAAAGCUGCGCUGUCAGCUUCCCUACUUUUGAGGUUUUGAGACUCUGGCUGGCUUCUUUGCUAAUCAGCUUGAAAACAGCCUGUUGUGGGACUUCACCUUGUGUUCGUGUGAGUCAAUACUCCUUAAUAAACUCCCCUGCAUAUAUACAUCUAUCCUAUUAGCUCUGUCUCUCUGGAGAACCCUGACUAAUACAACCUCCCUUUCCUGCCAGGCUGGGCUCCUGUCUGCCUCAUUCUCUUGCCCUGUUGCCCAGGCUAGAGUAUAGUGGCACCAUCAUUGCUCACUGCAGCCUCGACCUCUCAGUCUCAAGUGAUUUUCCUGCCUCAGCCUCUGCAGUAGCUAGGACUACAGGCAUACGCCAC
rnacentral:lncRNA from 1 species